rnacentral:rRNA from 1 species
CCUACGGGGGGCACCAGUGGGGAAUAUUGGACAAUGGGCCACAAGCCUGAUCCAGCAAUUCUGUGUGCACGAUGAAGGUCUUCGGAUUGUAAAGUGCUUUCAGUUGGGAAGAAGAAAGUGACGGUACCAACAGAAGAAGCGACGGCUAAAUACGUGCCAGCAGCCGCGGUAAUACGUAUGUCGCAAGCGUUAUCCGGAUUUAUUGGGCGUAAAGCGCGUCUAGGCGGAAAAAUAAGUCUGAUGUUAAAAUGCGGGGCUCAACUCCGUAUUGCGUUGGAAACUGUUUUUCUAGAGUACUGGAGAGGUGGGCGGAACUACAAGUGUAGAGGUGAAAUUCGUAGAUAUUUGUAGGAAUGCCGAUGGAGAAGUCAGCUCACUGGACAGAUACUGACGCUGAAGCGCGAAAGCGUGGGGAGCAAACAGGAUUAGAUACCCCAGUAGUC